CUUUUGCUAUAGUUUAUACUUUACAUUGCUUUGAAACUUAUUCUCCCAGCUACAUAAAUAAUUUCGUAGCCUUGAUGUGAGUAUGGACUGCCACAAUAAUAACAUUUUCCCGUCGAUUCAGAUUGGAUGGUGGCCAACAUGUCGUUAUUUUUGUCCUUUGACUCGAUAUCCCGUGCUUGAUAAGUGCUUUGCUCAUCUCUACGGCCGUCCAGCAAAAUAUCCCUGAGUUUAUACUCGGGAUCUCUUGGUGCUUUCUUUCGUAUCCUCGAAGAAGACCCCGCCAUGAUUAUCUGUUGUUCCACCUCAAAGUCAACAUCAUCAAAAGCACAUGUUUGAGCUAAUUUUCUCAAUUGCGUAUGAAAUUGUAUUUGAUUGUUCUUGUUUGGCUUCGCGAAAUUUGUACACUUCAUAUUGCCGAUUUUUUUGAGGCUCAAAAUAUUCCGUUAAUUUGGUUUUCGCAAGUUCAAAUUCGCUGUCGUCGCCUGUAUCGUUGAGCUGUCGAAAUAUUUCACGAAUGCGUGAACCAUCUUGACAGAGAACGAAUAUAUAACAAAAGAGAGACGCAAAUGUAUAGAAGCUGAGGUAGACCCAAAGGUGGACAAAACCAUAGAGAAAAAGGUAACACAAAUAAAGGCAAAAAGAUAUACAAAAA